CUCCUACGGGACGCAGCAGUGAGGAAUAUUGGUCAAUGGGCGGAAGCCUGAACCAGCCAAGUCGCGUGAGGGAAUAAGGCCCUACGGGUCGUAAGCCUCUUUUGCCGGGGAGCAAGGGCGGGGACGUGUCCCGGCCCGGAGAGUACCCGGAGAAAAAGCAUCGGCUAACUCCGUGCCAGCAGCCGCGGUAAUACGGAGGAUGCGAGCGUUAUCCGGAUUUAUUGGGUUUAAAGGGUGCGUAGGCGGAAGGUUAAGUCAGCGGUCAAAUGUCGGUGCUCAACACCGGCCUGCCGUUGAAACUGGUC
rnacentral:rRNA from 1 species